GGAGUUCUGCUGGAGCUACAUGCCUGAACACCAACCAAUAACCUUUUCAUGUGGCUGAGACCUUUCAUAUGGCCACAGUCCUCAGAGACAGCAUCCCAAGAGUGAUCCUUUUAAGAGGCUCAGGUAGAAAUUGCAAGGUGUUUUUACAGUCUUUUCAGAGGUUGGAGUGUCACUUCUGUCAUAUUCUGCUGGUUCAACAAGCCAGUAAAGCCAAGCCCAGAGUAAGGUGCAAGGCUAGUCUAGCCUGCUGGACAAUGAGAGGCCUACGGAACAGGGCGGAGUCACCAUAUCCCACUGAAACUGGCCUAGGUUAGCCAACAGCCCACCUCUCCCAGGCACGUGAAAGCUCAGCGGACUCUGAACAGAUGGACAAUAAACAUUUACUGUGUUUGCCA